rnacentral:misc_RNA from 1 species
AAAAACCAUGGCAUGGGAAAAGGAAAGAGGCGCUGAGUUCUUGUAUGAUGGUAUUCGCCUUCUUGCCAUGCUUGAAGAGUAUACCAUAUUACGCCAGGAGAAAGAGGAAGAAAGACGGAGGCAGAGGGAUCAGAAGAAAUUGCAGGGUCAGCUGAUAGCAGAGCAAGAGGCACUUUUUGGGUCAAAACCAAGCCCUUCAAA